AGAUUUCCCAUGAUUUUAUAUCAGUAAGAGCCCUGAGAGAUGAUCAGGUAGAUAGGUUAGAAGUGGAAGUGUAGUGAUACAUGAAGCGGACUAAUACUAAUAGCUCGAGGACUUAUCCGAA
rnacentral:rRNA from 1 species